rnacentral:lncRNA from 1 species
AGCUUCAUUCAUGAUUCAGAGAUAGAGGGGAGGGGGCUUAGGUGGAUAUCAUUCCAUCCAUACCCAUUAGACAGCAGGGAGGAGGGAAGGGAUGUGCCUGUCUGGUGUGUAGCAGAGUGUGUUGUGCACAGUGGAGCUGGGGCUAGCUUUGGGAGAAGUGUCCCAAGUAGCAGGAAUGUGAGCAGGUGAGGCUUCCAGCCCACAGGAGCCUGCAGAGAGUGUGCAAGACUGAAUUGGAAGGAUGCCCACAGUGUGGUUUUCUGUGCCUCUGUUGCCUUCUCAAGUCUCCUGAGUGACAUUCUGGGCUUAGGACUUGGAGCUGUGUGGGUCAUCUAUCCAGGAGAGAGGCCAUGGUUGAGACCUGGUAAGGCAGCUUCACAAAGUCAUUGAGGAUGCAGGCUUCUGUAUUGCUGUUUCACCAUCCUGAGUUUUGGCUUUCACCCUCAUGGAUACUUCAUGGUCUCUAGUGAGUGCUGAAACUGUGGACCCUGGACACACUCUGAAGGGAGCAGAAGGAGCUGGUCUGCCCUACUUUAACAAGUCUUCUCAGCGUCUCAUUCAGCAUUUCUGAUUCCAUCCCAACUGCCACAUGGGAGCCACAUGGUCACACCUAGCUGCAAGAGAAGCCAGGAAAUAUAGCUUAUCUGUUACACAUAUUGUCCAGGUUUUUGUCCCUGAGGAAGAAGGCGAGGAUGGAUU